rnacentral:rRNA from 1 species
AACGAACGCUGGCGGCAGGCUUAACACAUGCAAGUCGAACGCCCCGCCAGGGGAGUGGCCGACGGGUGAGUAACGCGUGGGAAUCUACCCAUCCCUACGGAAUAACGCAUGGAAACGUGUGCUAAUACCGUAUACGCCCUACGGGGGAAAGAUUUAUCGGGGAUGGAUGAGCCCGCGUUGGAUUAGCUAGUUGGUGGGGUAAAGGCCUACCAAGGCGGCGAUCCAUAGCUGGUCUGAGAGGAUGAUCAGCCACAUUGGGACUGAGACACGGCCCAAACUCCUACGGGAGGCAGCAGUGGGGAAUAUUGGACAAUGGGCGCAAGCCUGAUCCAGCCAUGCCGCGUGAGUGAUGAAGGCCUUAGGGUUGUAAAGCUCUUUCACCGGAGAAGAUAAUGACGGUAUCCGGAGAAGAAGCCCCGGCUAACUUCGUG